rnacentral:misc_RNA from 1 species
CCGAGUUAGGGUACUCUUCGUGCCCGACCUCCAACCCUUUGUCUACCUGACCAGAUGUUGCUUCGGCAGGCCCGCCGCUCCGCGAGGGGUGGCCGCCGGGAGCCCUUACCGGCCCCGGGUCCGCGCCUGUCGAUGGCCCCUUCUAAACAAACUCUUGAUUAAACCGUGUCGUCUGAGUAAAACAAACAAAAUAAAAAC